ensembl:snRNA U6 U6 spliceosomal RNA
AGUGCUUGCACCGGCACCACAUAUAAAAAUUGGAACCAUACAGACAAGAUUAGCACGGCCCCUGCACGAGGAUGACAUGCAAAUUUGUGAAGUGUUCCAUAUUUUU